GGGAUAGUAAAGGAUAUUUAGUGGUGCGCGACGGGGGGGUGAGAUCGAUGGUUGACAAAAUGUAAUCAAGACUCUGCCAUAUAAUGCGCGUUUCUCGGGUCGAUUCUGCGGUUCUCGGGUAUGGCUGAAAUAAGGCAAGAAAACGACUCGGAAAGCAGCGAUGUGGACAUUUUAGAAGUUUCCCUUCACAAUUUAAGUAUCGAGGGUAAGUUGAAUGAAUUUUAUACAAUAUUUAUGUCGCAUUUGCCGGUAUUGACGGCAUGUUUUACAUAUCUGUAUAGCGACAGUAUACGUCAUAGUAUCAUGGCUUUGUUAUUGUUUUUAUCUCUCCCAAAAUCAACAAAUAAAGUUUAAAAUAUCAUAUAUGGUACAUUGCCAGUAAGAAUUAUAUAAAAGCAGCAAGGAUUCACAAAGGAUGGCUUAAAUAUACGACGGAUUGAUACAAAAGACGUUUGGUUGUAGUCGGCCCAUAAAAUGGCCGCCUGUAUUGUGGUGUGACACUUAUCCUUUAAUAUUUAGAUUGAAGAUUCUAAGCAGUGUAUCCUAUAUUAAAUACUUUAUAUCUAGAUGAAGAAGAUGGAUGUAAUCCAAUGGCAAGUACGCCCCAAAAGGAUGACAAGAAAUAAAUGAGUGUGCUCUGAAGUGUCCAAACGCCAAAGUGAACCUGGUCGAAAAAGGCUUCACAUAUCAACAGUUGACACAGGUUUGUUCUUAGUUUAUAAUACUGAGUAGUCUCUCUCAAUCUACAUAUUUUCGUAGUGAUAUAUCUAAUCUAGAAAUAGUCUUAGAUUAAAUUAAAUUUUGGAAUUCAAGGCAGCAUCUAGCACUAUAGUUCAAAGUACUAAUAAGUUCAUGAAGUUUCUCUUUCACACAACAGUAUGACCAGAAUUGGAGAAUAUAUAAUUAUAAAAUUAUGUUUAAUCAAUGUUGUAUCAGUACACUGUUGGCCAGUAAGCUAGGUUCGGUAUGCUUGGCUGCUCGCCCAGCACCCCCCCCCCCCCUAGAGAAAUCUUGCCGGAUCCACCACUGAACCUUUUAAGAAAUGAAUGUAUUUGAAGUAUUUGGAUUAUUCAAUGUUAAUGCAAUCUCAAAAGAAUCAAUUGUGAUUGGCUAAGAACUACAGACAAUCCUCAAUGUUUAUCCACCUAAAACAACAUUGAAAAUUGCCUGUUGGUGACAUGAUUUUUUAAUGAGACACCUGACAAGGUUUUCUUUCCUGCCAUUAUAACAUCAUCAUAAUUGCAUAUUAAAACAAUUAUUGAAUUUGGGUUUCGCAUGACAUCAAGACCGGUCAAUGUUAUCUGCCGAAGCCAAAGGUUGAGGUCUGGAUAAUUCUUGAUAUCAUGCUCAUCCUCGUCCAAUAUGUAAUUGUUGAAUGUUUUUACAAUUGUAUCCCAUUUUUGUUUCUGCAUCUUGCUCUCUCUAUUUUACAAAUAGAGCCUGACACAAACCUUGCUAUCCACUCAAGUAUAUUUUUGUAUAAAGUAUCAAAUCAAAAUGUCCAGGGAGAAAUGUCAAUUUCAUAUAAAAACAACAAUCUAAUUAAAGUUACAACUUGCUAAAUAUAUAAUAGUAGUAUCAUAUAAUUAGGAUUAACCAAUAUUAACAUAGUAUUAUAUAACUAGGAUUAUCCAAUCACAAAGAUACAUUAAAUAUGGUCUGAUAUACUUGUGCUAGAAAUAGCCAGUCAGAGCUACAUUCAAUAUUUUGCACCUAUAUAAUAUGUCAGUUUGGAUAACUCCUGUUUUUUAAUUUCUGUAGAUAUACCUAAUUAAUCAACUCAAACAGAUGCCUUUGUUUUGGCAGCCAGUUGGGACCACAACAAUGAACAAUGAUAUCUUUUCUGGAUACAAGAGCUUCAAUAGCAUCAAAUAGGCAAUUCCAGCUUUUAGUUUAUGCCUGCAGGGGAUGAUGGGAAGUAAGGUAUCAUAGUGCUGAUUAUGCUGAAAAUUUUCAAUAAAAACUACCGAAGCAACCAAAAUAUUUCAAUAUUUACAAAUAUAAGCUAUCACUCCGUGUUUACAAGGCCACCAUUUUUAUUUUUUCAGCAUAAUCAGCAAUGUGAUACCUUACUUCCCAUCGUCCCUGCACGCAUAAACUAAAAGCUGGAAUUGCCUAUUGUCCUGGUCUAAACUUCCAAUGUCCAAGUUCUAGUUUACAGCACCGUCCAUUGAAAUUCUUUCUGGAGUUGUAGGCAAUCUUCCACUUUCAACAGUUUCUCAUCAACUUUUGGUAGCAACAGUAGUGGCAUCAUUGGAACAAUUUAUAUCAUUGCCAAAUGACACUUUGUAUUCUGUGUACAUUAGUUCAUACUAGAUUGACACAUCAUCCAUGGAAUUAUUCUGUAGAAUAAUUAAGAUAUUUGUAUGUUACCAUAGUCGCUACU